CAACGGUGUGUGUAAACCAACAGAAGGUGCCUACGGACCCACGUACGAGUGUCUGUGCACUUACGGAUAUGACGGAUACAAGUGCGAGGAUGAUAUUGACCCUUGUGAGCACAACCCGUGCGACAACGGAGGUGUGUGCCAAAUCAACCGCCAGUACCGGCACAGUGGAUAUGAGCCGGAAACCACCUGUGUCUGCCCCUGCACCCAUCUAGGAGACAGUUGCGAGAUAGAGAUCAAGCCGUGCGAACCGAAUCCAUGCAAAAACGGCGGCGUGUGCAGGAAAGCUGGAGGACACUGCAAUCACACGACGUUUGCGUGUGACUGUCCCUACGGUCUGAAGGGCGACGUGUGCGAACUCGGUUAUGGACACCCAAAGCACUAAAACCACGAUGUUUGAAGCGGACGAUGAAAGAGCAAAUUCAAGAUUAAAGGCAUGACCACAAACGGAGAAGCAGUCCGUUAAUGAUUUUCUGCAACGCGGUGUCUGUAAAUACCCCACGAUGU